UCUGACCUGCCCAUUGGAAAACUGAAAGGCCGCGGUAUUAUGACCGUGCAAAGGUAGCAUAAUCAUUAGUUUUUUAAUUGAAGGCUAGAAUGAAUGGUUGGACAAGAAAUAAUCUGUCUUAAAUUAAAAUAUUGAAUUUAACUUUUAAGUGAAAAGGCUUAAAUGAUCUAAGGGGACGAUAAGACCCUAUAAAACUUUAUAUUUUAAGGUGGUAGGUAAUUUUAUUUUAAAAUUACUAUUUUAAAUUAUUUUGUUGGGGCGACAAGGAUAUAAGAAAGGUAACUGUCUUUUAUUUUUACAAUAAUAUUUGAAUUGCUGAUCCUAAAAGGGAUUAAAGAUUAAGUUACUUUAGGGAUAACAGCGUAAUUUUCUUUGAGAGUUCUUAUCGACAAGAAAGUUUGCGACCUCGAUGUUGAAUUAAAGGUUCUUUAUAGAGUAGAGACUAUAAGAGAAGGUCUGUUCGACCUUUAAAAUUUUACAUGAUUUGA
rnacentral:rRNA from 1 species